AAUCAGUUCAAGCUUAAUAUGUAGGUACCUAGAGUCCUUUUCAUGAAAGAAGUCCCCCAGACGCAGCGCUGUACUCGCGUGACAUAAUGUUGCCAUUUAUGAGUAAAAAAAUUACCUAUUUUACAUUUAGCAAUGUAAUUUAUCAAAUAGUUAAUACUAUUUCCUGCAUACUUCGAUGAAACAAUAU